GAUGAACGCUGGCGGCGUGCCUAAUACAUGCAAGUCGAGCGAACAGACGAGGAGCUUGCUCCUCUGACGUUAGCGGCGGACGGGUGAGUAACACGUGGAUAACCUACCUAUAAGACUGGGAUAACUUCGGGAAACCGGAGCUAAUACCGGAUAAUAUAUUGAACCGCAUGGUUCAAUAGUGAAAGACGGUUUUGCUGUCACUUAUAGAUGGAUCCGCGCCGCAUUAGCUAGUUGGUAAGGUAACGGCUUACCAAGGCAACGAUGCGUAGCCGACCUGAGAGGGUGAUCGGCCACACUGGAACUGAGACACGGUCCAGACUCCUACGGGAGGCAGCAGUAGGGAAUCUUCCGCAAUGGGCGAAAGCCUGACGGAGCAACGCCGCGUGAGUGAUGAAGGUCUUCGGAUCGUAAAACUCUGUUAUUAGGGAAGAACAAAUGUGUAAGUAACUAUGCACGUCUUGACGGUACCCAAUCAGAAAGCCACGGCCAACUACGUG
rnacentral:rRNA from 1 species